UCCGAUUCCACUCGCCUCCCGUGCCUCGUUCCUCUUAUCCCCUCGUCCUCCUAUUUCUUCUUAUGCCCCGUCGCAUUCUCUGUUCUUCCUCCCUCUCCCUUUCACUUCCUAUUCGAUUCCCAUGGGUCGAACCCUAAGCAGGCGAAUCCGUAGCUGCGACGAACCCUAAUCCAGCGACUGGCGCAUCAAUGGCUCGCAUAGGCAGCGAUUUUGGUUUUUCUUCUGUCUCGUGAUGGCUUCGUCUGCACAAGAAGGAUGUGGGUUUGGCCAAGUCGAAGAACCAGAAGGGGAGGAACCAACCGAAUAUCCCCCACAAGGUCUCCGGAAUGACUUAGGUGCCAGAGUGUUUCCUAGGAAGUUAUGCAAGCCUACAUAUAUUACCAAACUGUCUACCAAGUGUUUCAACAAAACUGUCAAGAAGUUUAGUGAUAUUCAAUUAGGUUAUGUGAGAAAAUACAAAAUGGAAGCACUACUUCAUAUGCCAUACAAACUUAAUAUCACAAUGAAUCUGCUCGAAUGGCUAGAUCAGCAUAUGUUUGGAAGUAUAGAACCUUGUUUCAAGCAUACGAACAAAGUUAUCAAGAUUACUAAAGAUAUGGUCAAAUUUUUUUUCGAUUUCCCUGGUGGCACCGUGCCUUUUGUAUUCAGUAGUGACGAUCCCCAAGUGAAGGUAGAGGUUCAGAGUUGAGGAACAAGUAUGUUGAUUAUCGGAACAAAAUGCCAAUCAACAAAGUAGAGGACGUGAUGCUUAGUGACGAGACAGAAGAUGGUUUUAUCAGGAGCUUCACUUUUUAUUUCCUAUCAUAUAUUUUGUGCCCUGCGUCAUACUGCUUUGGCAACACCAAGUUCCUAUACUCUCUAAGAGAUGUUUUUGCUAUCCCUUCACUUCAGUUUGGGCAAUUGGCACUAGAUUUCAUGCACGAGGAGUCAGAGCGUCACUUUGAAAUGAUCAUGAACAGACCAAGUGUUGAGGAAAUGAACAAGGCUUCAUAUAUUGGGGGAUGUCUUCCUAUUUGGGGAAUCAUUUAUCUAGAUUUUGAUGAUUUUGAUGUUAUUGAGAAUCAUCAAUCAACUAUGAAUUAUUCUCUUCCUCGGAUAUCUCACAUUAAGAAUGAAGAUGUCAAGUCUCGCGUUGGUUGAUAGGAAUUAUGAGUCUAGGAAUUUUUUUGGGGUUUUGACUUAUCUUUUUAGUUCCAGUAUUUAUUUUCAUCAUUUGUUCAACUACAAUUUGUAGCUGCGAGACAUAUCUCGCACCCCCUAUGCCAGUGUGGCGCCUAUUAACAAUGCUCAUGUUGCUGCUGGUGUGUUUCAUUCAGUUCCUCAUGUGGAGUAGGUCAACAAUGCCACUAGUGUUCCUGAAGCUGUCAAUGAGGACACUUCAAUUUAUUAAAAAAGUCCACGUAUCAUUUCAGAAGGUCCCAGUUGCACUGCAAAAGUUGAACCAGACGUAAAAGUGAAACCAGAACCACAUUUGAAAUCAGAGGUUUCCUUCAGAGAUGUCACUAAGCAGGAGCCAAUCGGACCGAAAUUUGAGAACAUUUCUGGCCUGAAUUUGGUGUACCUAACUCCAUUUUUUCUUGUUCAUGGUACACCUGUGAACAUCAACUCUAUUGAGCAAGCAACUACUUCACAACCUAAGUAGGAAGAAAAAUUUCUAUCAACUGAAGCAGCUGAUACCAUUUUUUCUGGUGGAUUUAAUGCAAAAAGAAGUUUUAUAUUGAUUAGUUCCUCUUCUUCAAAUGAAAGCGUUAAGCGCUUCCAAGGGACUCCAACCAUUAUUGAGGAUGAUUCUUCUAUCACUCCUGCCAUUGUGACUAACAAAGACAUACCAGCCUCUGACUAUGAUACAAGUGUAGGAAUUCCAAUGAACAUGGACUUUGCUAUCCAACAAGGCUAUUCUACAAUGAACAAUGCAGAAGAUGGACCAAGUACGUGACCUAAUACAAUUGAAAGGAAGAAUAGAAAAAAUAAGAGCAGCUAAACUUCAACCUCCGAUCCACCGAAGAAGCUCAAAAUAUCUCGUGAAGUGGAUAUGUUCUUUUCUAAAUAUCUGGAAGCCUAUCUUCCAAGAAUAGUAAAUUAUCUUAUUCAUCUAGUUAUUUUAUCGUUUUAUAUUCAAUAAUUUAUGAGCACUUUUGUUAGUCUAGACCUCUACCUACAAAAAUAAUUAUAGACAUUUUCUAAUAUGUGAGCAAAUUUCUGCACUAGUUUUAGAUGUAAACAUUUUUCCUUCAUAUUCUAUUAUGUAAUCCAAACAUUUUUUGGAUCAACCAAAGGUAGUUGAGAUGAAAAACUUUGUAGUUCACAUAAUUUUAGACUAAAAAGAAGUCAUAUGGAUACCAACCUAAUUCAGUUUACAGCUCAACGUUCAUAGCCUAUAAAAGGAAGUUUAACUUUUUUUUGGCUAGCAUUUUUAACUAUGAGGACCAGAAAGCUUUUCCUUAACAAUUUUUUUGGAAUGCAUUUAUACUUUAUCCCUGUAGUAUUGCAUAUGUAUUUUAUAAAUUGUUAAACUAUCUUUUUAAGAACCAUUUUCUCCAUAUAACAAUAGUUAUGCUUCUUUAUUCAGUCCAGCACUCUUUUUGUCGACAUAGAGGGUUUUACUAUAAGCUAUGAUAAUUACUUAUGUUCAUUUAAAGCAAGGGGUGAGAUUGGAGAUGAAGUGAUGAACUCGUUUAUUCAAGUUCUUAACUAUGAAUCAAAGAUGUCAUCUGAAGUAAAGCCUUAUAUCAAGAAGUACUGUUUCACUUCGUACUUCACUUUGAGUUUUUGUUCUAAUUCAUUGAUUUUUUAUUUUUUGUUUUCCUUAAAUUCAUUGAUUUUUACUAAUUUAUGUUUCGUUGGUCACAUAAUAAAUUGUUGGUUACCCCUGAGUCAUUUGAUCAAGUAACGCGCAUACAAGAAUUUGACAGGAUUAAUUCAGAAGAAAGCCUCUGGAAACGAGACUUCGUAAAUCUUUUUCGAGUGAUACUAUGUUAAGCAAGACCUUUUAUGUUUGUUUUGUUUUAUAUUUCAUUCUAAUUUUUUUUGUUACACAUUAUUCUUCCCUACUAUAAAAUCAAGCCAUUGGGUUAUACUUUCCAUCAACUCUCUCUUUGAGAUAUCUCACGUUUUUUAUCCCUGUGGCACUAUCCUGGGAACUACCCAAAAAGAACUUGUUUACAACUUGGUAA